AAAAACGUAAGAUGAGUAACUGAUGUCGCUAUCCCCAGCGAGUUGUCAUUUGGUGUAAGACAAUGGUAGUAAAUCAGUGAAGAUGGUCUUAAAGCGCGUUUUCAAUGCUGAGCUGAGUCGUAAAGCAUUGACGGGAACUCCCGUUAUAGAGUUAGGGUAUCACAUGUGAUGGUUGUACUUGAAACAAACUGCUGUGACUUAAAGGUACCCGAAGAGGAAUGAUUCAUGAGGGUCAUUUGAAGCCAGGUGGUAACACGAAAGCGUUCUUUCGUCCUGCGU
rnacentral:ncRNA from 1 species